rnacentral:rRNA from 1 species
UAACAAGGUCUCCGUAGGUGAACCUGCGGAGGGAUCAUUACAAGUGACCCCGGUCUAACCACCGGGAUGUUCAUAACCCUUUGUUGUCCGACUCUGUUGCCUCCGGGGCGACCCUGCCUUCGGGCGGGGGCUCCGGGUGGACACUUCAAACUCUUGCGUAACUUUGCAGUCUGAGUAAACUUAAUUAAUAAAUUAAAACUUUUAACACCGGAUCUCUUGGUUCUGGCAUCGAUGAAGAACGCAGCGAAAUGCGAUAAGUAAUGUGAAUUGCAGAAUUCAGUGAAUCAUCGAAUCUUUGAACGCACAUUGCGCCCCCUGGUAUUCCGGGGGGCAUGCCUGUUCGAGCGUCAUUUCACCACUCAAGCCUCGCUUGGUAUUGGGCAACGCGGUCCGCCGCUUGCCUCAAAUCGACCGGUUGGGUCUUCUGUCCCCUAAGCGUUGUGGAAACUAUUCGCUAAAGGGUGUUCGGGAGGCUACGCCGUAAAACAACCCCAUUUCUAAGGUUGACCUCGGAUCAGGUAGGGAUACCCGCUGAACUUAAGCAUA